CAAACUAUAGUUUACAUAAAACAUAUGAUUUGCAUUCAUAAAAUGCUUAAGAUUAAGCUAGUUUCA
rnacentral:tRNA from 1 species